rnacentral:rRNA from 1 species
UACAGAGGGUGCGAGCGUUAAUCGGAAUUACUGGGCGUAAAGCGCGCGUAGGCGGCUUUGCAAGUCGGGUGUGAAAUCCCCAGGCUUAACCUGGGAACUGCAUUCGAGACUGCAUUGCUAGAGUAUGGGAGAGGGAAGUGGAAUUUCCGGUGUAGCGGUGAAAUGCAUAGAUAUCGGAAGGAACAUCAGUGGCGAAAGCGACUUCCUGGACCAAUACUGACGCUCAUGUGCGAAAGCGUGGGGAGCAAACAGG